GACACCAAUGUGCCACCCGCCAGUGACUUUCUUCGAUGACCGCCACGGAUGGUGCUUUGGAUUAGUUCAUCGUAGCAAGCUCGGUGCACAGGUGGACUAUUUCUCAGGUUGAUAAUGGGGGCAAUAUUCAUCGGGAAUUUCCCUGUAUCUUGCAGGACAACGAGAUUCAUCAGGAGCUGGGUCCAGUACUAUGCAGUUCACCCGCAGCUGUUCUGAUCAUCUCUCAUGUGAUUGUGAUGAUGCUCAACUGUUCGGCUAAGCGUACCGCCUGCUGCGGUUCCGGUCAUCUUGGAAGGAAUUUGCAAAAGAGCUUCUGAUGCUCUAGUCCUGCUCAAGGUCACUCUUUCGCAUAACUCGAAUCUCGUUUCUUUAUUAUAUUCUAAAACAUUUUAUAGUCAAAAGAUAUUUUAGCCAGGGCAGUUGUUAGUAGCUCAAGGUAGUCGAUUGCUUGGCAUGCUCGUUAGAGGCAUUCAGAAUAUAGGCACAAACGCAUGUUUCAGUUGCCACCAAGUGUAUAAUGGAUUCAUAUUUGUUUUUCUUGCGGUGAUGGCAUCUCAUCCCGAUACGAGGAUGCUGCUGUUUGCUAGUAAGUGCUCGAAACUGUUACAUUCGAGAGUAAAGUUGAAAGGAUGCAAUUGAGUUGGUGUCCGGACAUUGUUUACCUGAAUUAAGUUCAUAGAUAGUUAUUUGGUUGUUUUAAUUGUGGGAUCUCAUGACUCUUUUCUAACCGAAGCGACAUUUUGCAGCUAAAAAUUACAAAUUAUAUGAUGCCGUUUUCUGGAAAUCUCGGACUGUAGAAGGCCCUAUGAACUCCUCAGGUUCAGCUGCUUGGGCAUUAUCAGCGCCUUAGUCCGACAUCGUCAUAUUCUAUUGACGAAAUGCAGCACCCUUUUCUAAUUAUUUCUGGAAUCCUUGAGUUAUUCUAAUUGAGCAGUUCUUCAGCAAGGGGAUUUCCGAUUUCUAAGUUUAUGCCGAACAUAUAUUCAUUAUCAGUGGUGCUGAUACUUGGUAAAACUAUAUCUAUAUUGUUUUUUCAAUUGCAGGACGAUGAUGAGGAGAUUGUCGCGUGUCUUCUUAAAACUAAACUGUUUCCUGUUGUUCUUCAUUGCCCGGAACGAGGCCAUGGAUACACAGACUGUGGCGGCGUUCAUUUUCUUUAGGAUCUUAAUGCAUGACUCAGGGCUAAGUUACUGCUGCCUUCUUCCUGAUCGUUUCUCUGCAAUAUGCCGUACUCUUGCAAUUGUCGUCUGCGGGCUUGGUCUUGAGCCUCACCGCUUGCUUCUGAGCAGCGUUGUUGGCUGCUAUUUAAGGCUUUCCAAGCAUCCAAGGAUGACCUGACAAUAGCAGAGUGGGCUCGGCAGGUCCGUGUGAAUGUUGCUCAUGGACACUAUUAUCGCCCGAUAGUUACAGACAACACCCUGAGGCGCUUCGACAGAGCUUUGCUGCAAUGCUCGAACUUGAGAGAUGACUCUGCCGAGAUUUACUUCGACAGCGAUUGUUACUGUUGUUGUAGUUCCUGUGUAGUGCUGCCUGAUCAUGCUCAAAACAUGAAAGACUAGGUUUCGAACAUCCUUAUGUUUAUCGGUCGUGGAUUUGGAGACGAUUUAACAAAUAAAAAGCUUACAGCGCGACU